ACACUCCUACGGGAGGCAGCAGUGGGGAAUUUUGGACAAUGGGCGAAAGCCUGAUCCAGCAAUGCCGCGUGAGUGAAGAAGGCCUUCGGGUUGUAAAGCUCUUUUGUCAGGGAAGAAACGGUGAGAGCUAAUAUCUUUUGCUAAUGACGGUACCUGAAGAAUAAGCACCGGCUAACUACGUGCCAGCAGCCGCGGUAAUACGUAGGGUGCAAGCGUUAAUCGGAAUUACUGGGCGUAAAGCGUGCGCAGGCGGUUUUGUAAGUCUGAUGUGAAAUCCCCGGGCUCAACCUGGGAAUUGCAUUGGAGACUGCAAGGCUAGAAUCUGGCAGAGGAGGGUAGAAUUCCACGUGUAGCAGUGAAAUGCGUAGAUAUGUGAAGGAACACCGAUGGCGAAGGCAGCCCCCUGGGUCAAGAUUGACGCUCAUGCACGAAAGCGUGGGGAGCAAACAGGAUUAGAAACCCUAGUAGACCCAUGAU
rnacentral:rRNA from 1 species